GGUAUUUUUUGCUGUUGCAAGACAGAUUUUCACCUAAAUACUUGAUUUUCUGUCACAGAACCCUAUUUUAAACUGCCCUUUACCUUCUGAAGAACAACGUGGCUGUAAGGUUUGAGGGAGUUUUGUCAACAUUAUUCUUUUAAAAAGUGAUCAAUGUUAAUAUUUCUGUCUGUUUUCUUGCCCAGUUUACUUGGACUUGCAUUGUUCCCUCCCUCUUUUUUUCUGCUGAGACUGCAGUUGUUCAGGGAUGUUCAUGGUAAGCUUUACUUCUAAGCAACUUCUACAGUGGCCAUGGUCACCAAUGGAUUGACACCUACUCGAGCAUCACCUUGGGAGGAUUGUGUUGGAGCAACCUGGGCUCUUUGGUAAUACAGGACAUUGGCAGCUGUAGCAGAAAACCGGGUUCUCUUAACAAAUGACAGGAACAGGGGGAUAAUGCCAGUGUGAAAUCAGUAACCACAUAUAAACUUCUCAUGGAGAUCAGCUGGGACCUCAUGGCAGAAACCUCAUUUAAAACAACCGCUAAUGACUUCACCUUGGGCCAAGUCACAGCACAGCAGCCACCUCCUCCUCCUCCUCCAGCCCUGCUGGGAG